rnacentral:lncRNA from 1 species
UUCACAACUGGGAAAAAGCCUGUUUGUAUUUUUAGUGGGAAGGUUAUUUUAAGCCAUGAGAAAGGUAUUAGAUAUUAUCUACCAUGGAGUAUUUGUAUAAACAAAGGUCUACCUGAUGGUUGUGCAAACAUCUGUUCUGCUCUUACCCAACAUUGCACGGUUCAUUAAAACUUACCCUGUUGGCCUCUGAAAGGCCAGUUCUGGAAGCACAUCGUCUUACUUACAGAAUCCACAAUUGCAAUAAUUUGUCUUCUAAAAGAAAAUAAUCUUAGCUUAGGGUAAUGAUUUUUUUUUUUAUUUUUUUUUUUUCCCCUCUGUAGAAAUAUGAUUUUAUGUUUUACAAUGCAGGCUCAAUAAAUUACAUUAAUAAAUGACUCCUGGUUCACGAGAAGUGCUGUAUUUUGACAAUAUCAGCCAACCUUUCCAUUUGUUUAAGCAGGAAAAGUGGGGAGCCAAAAUAAAGCUGUUACAGAAGAAAUCUCAAGAAUGUUUAUAAAACUCUACUCUAGCUACAUUUAUUAGGAGUCGAAGCAUAGUCUUAAUUUGUCAUGCAGAAUUCCAGGGGAGUGAGUAAUUUCUAGAGCUUCUCUAAAUGCCAGGACUUAAUAUUUUUCUGUAGCAAUUUGUUUGUAAACAUGGAGUAAAUUGUAUAGGUUGCAAUGUGACAAAAAGGUAUCUAGGAUUUGUCAUCUUCUGCUAACAGCUGUUGGGUUUAUUUUAUAGCAUCUCAUGGGGUUUUUCAGAUAAAUGCGCUGUUGAUGGCAAGUGAAAGCACCCUGAGGAUCUCUGAUGGUGGGCGUGCACAAAGUUUAACUGCAGUAGGCUGUUUGUUGGGGAUUUAAUCUCCAGUGGAUCAGCUCCCCUGGGUCGCUUCCGCUCCCACCAGGGUGUCGAUGUGUCAGCUCCAGAGAAACCCACACCACACAGGAGGCAAACUCCGGGCAAGAUGGUAAUCUCCCUUCUGGUCCUUUUUGGAGUUCACCAGGGAUGUUUGGCUAGAAACGCUUUUCCAUGGGUGCUUUCAAAUAUAUACCAAGCAGAGCUGCAGCGGCUGCUGAGGAUGCCUAUGUUCCUGGCUACACGCAGUCUCCUCCCCACCUCCCAAAGGUAUCUUUUUUUUCUUUUUUUUUUUUUGGGGGGGGGGGGGAAUAAUUUAAUUUUUUAUAUUUAGUUUGAGCCCCUCAAAUUAAAAAAAAAAAAAAAAGAAAAAAAAAAGUACAGAAACUAUCUGAAACUACCUGAUUUUCUCUCUGAAGGAUUCUGCUUGUAGAUGGGUGCAGGCAUGUAUUGUUAUGACUUGACUGUUUCUGUUAGGCAUUCCAGUGAGUUUAGAGCAAUGGCAGAAAUGCUGUGGCCUUCUCUUUAAUACAGUGAUUCUGAAAAUAAUAAUAAUAAAAAAGUCUCUUUUACCUCUGUUUUCUUUCUC